GCUGGGUGCAGUGGCUUGUGCCUGUAGUACCAGCUACUCAGGAGGCUGAGGUGGGAGGAUCACUUGAGCCCAGGAGUUCUAGGCUGUAGUGCGCUAUGCCAGUUGGAUGUCCAUACUAAGUCUGGCAUUGAUAUGGUGACCUCUCAGGAGUGGGGGACCACCAGGUUGCCUAAGGAGGGGUGAACCAGCCCAGGUGGGAAACAGAGCAGGUCAAAACUCCCAUGCUGAUCAGUAGUGGCAUUGCCUUGUGAAUAGCCAGUCCACUCCAGCCUGGGCAACAUAGCGAGACACCAUCUCCA
ensembl:misc_RNA Metazoa_SRP Metazoan signal recognition particle RNA